rnacentral:rRNA from 1 species
GCCAGACUCCUACGGGAGGCAGCAGUGGGGAAUAUUGCACAAUGGGGGGAACCCUGAUGCAGCGACGCCGCGUGGGUGAAGGAGCGUUUCGGCGCGUAAAGCCCUCUCGGCAGGGAAGAAGGAGGACGGUACCUGACUAAGAAGCCCCGGCUAACUACGUGCCAGCAGCCGCGGUAAUACGUAGGGGGCAAGCGUUAUCCGGAUUUACUGGGUGUAAAGGGGGCGCAGACGGCAGCGCAAGCCAGGAGUGAAAGCCCGGGGCCCAACCCCGGGACUGCUCUUGGAACUGCGCGGCUGGAGUGCAGGAGGGGCAGGCGGAUUUCCUGGUGUAGCGGUGAAAUGCGUAGAUAUCAGGAGGAACACCGGUGGCGAAGGCGGCCUGCUGGACCGUGACUGACGUUGAGGCUCGAGAGCGUGGGGAGCAAACAGGAUUAGAUACCCUAGUA